UUAUUGAAGGGGGGCAAGGGGGGUCCCAAUAACAGCAAAACAGCAAAUUGAUUUGGCUCAUAACAGAUAACAAGGAAUUAAAAUGGACAAAAACAGAUAACAGUAAAUGAAAUAUUAAAAUAAUUCGGUCUUUGACAAAUCAGUAUUUCUUAUUACGGAUAUAAUCCUUUGUAAUGCAUUCCAUUUUUUAUGACUAUGUUUUUAGUAUUAAUUUAUGUAUCUAGAAUGUGUUUAAAUUACUACUCAAUAUAUUAUAAUAUUUUUUAUACGCUCGUUUACGGAACGUAUUAUGGUAUACUGUUGUCAACAUGUCGGACAUUAACUCAAAAACUC
rnacentral:lncRNA from 1 species